GGACUGGAGGUCCUAAGCUUCAUUAAUAUGGUGAGCCAGUGCCCACAUGAACAGUAGCAUCUUAGCACUGUCACCAAGACAUCCAUUUAAAUGCUCCUAUCUUAGCUAGUCAAAGUGUGGUCUAUGAGUUUCCAUUUUAAUAAGAUCCACGGGUGAAUCUUGUGCAUGUUACAGAGGAAGCACUGUCCUACAUCAUAUGUGACAGGCUCUCAUACUCACCAUCAUCACGGGAAUCUUGUACAUGUUACAGGGAAGCACUGUCCUACAUCAUAUGUGACAGGCUCUCAUAGUCACCAUCAUCACGGGAAUCUUGUGCAUGUUACAGAGGAAGCACUGUCCUACGUCAUAUGUGAAAGGCUCAUAGUCACCAUCAUCAUGGGAAUCUUGCGCAUGUUACAGGGAAGCACUGUUCUACAUCGUAUGUGACAGGCUUUCAUAGUCACCGUCAUCACAGGAAUCUUGCACAUGUUACAGGGAAGCACUGGGGUCCUACAUCAUAUGUGACAGGCUCUCAUAGUCACCAUCACCAUGGGAAGCUGCAUUUAGAGCAUUUUAACUAUAUGGGCUCUGAAAUCAGAUGACCUAGGUUUAGACUUCCUUCUACUUCUUACUAAGCAGAGAACUCUGGGGUGAAAACUUUACGAGGCCCAGUUUUAUCAUGUGCAAAUUGGAGGUAUAGGGAAAUUAUAGCAUUUUGCAUGGAAUAUUGUUUUAAGUAUAAAAUGAAAUAGUACAUAGGAAGCUUCUG
rnacentral:lncRNA from 10 species